rnacentral:rRNA from 1 species
GGCCAGGCUGAACGGUUUGGGCGCGAGCUCAAGACUGUUCUGGCCGGGUCUUUCCUUCUGGGGAACUAGGGUGCUAUUUGGUUAGUGCCUUAGGGAAACCAGGACAGUUACUUUGAAAAAAUUAGAGUGUUUAAAACAGGCUUACGCUUGAAUACAUUAGCAUGGAAUAACGGAAUAGGACUUUGUUUCUAUUUUGUUGGUUUUAAGGAACAAAGUA